rnacentral:rRNA from 1 species
GAAACUGCGAAUGGCUCAUUAAAUCAGUUAUCGUUUAUUUGAUAGUACCUUACUACAUGGAUAACCGUGGUAAUUCUAGAGCUAAUACAUGCUAAAAAUCCCGACUUCGGAAGGGAUGUAUUUAUUAGAUUAAAAACCAAUGCCCUUCGGGGCUCUCUGGUGAUUCAUAAUAACUUCUCGAAUCGCACGGCCUUGCGCCGGCGAUGGUUCAUUCAAAUUUCUGCCCUAUCAACUUUCGACGGCUGGGUCUUGGCCAGCCGUGGUGACAACGGGUAACGGAGGGUUAGGGCUCGACCCCGGAGAAGGAGCCUGAGAAACGGCUACUACAUCCAAGGAAGGCAGCAGGCGCGCAAAUUACCCAAUCCCGACACGGGGAGGUAGUGACAAUAAAUACUGAUACAGGGCUCUUUCGGGUCUUGUAAUUGGAAUGAGUACAAUUUAAAUCCCUUAACGAGGAACAAUUGGAGGGCAAGUCUGGUGCCAGCAGCCGCGGUAAUUCCAGCUCCAAUAGCGUAUAUUAAAGUUGUUGAGGUUAAAAAGCUCGUAGUUGAGCCUUGGGCCUAGCCGGCCGGUCCGCCUCAC